CCUACUAGCUAUUUGCCGCCUUUAGAAAUGUCAUUGUGUUUUCAAGCCACAGUAAUAAACUUUAGACUGAAUAUUCAUCAGCCCCCAAUGAGGAUGCAUUGAGUAGAAUGUUCAGUUGGGCAUCAGUCCUAAAACAAACCUUCAAAACAAUAUUGUGAAGCAACGUGCAAACCAUAAAUACCAGGGGUAGUGCUGUAGUAGUAUACCAGUAGUAGUGCUAUAGUAGUAUACCUGUAGUAGUAUACCAGUAGUAGUGCUGUAGUAGUAUACCAGUAGUAGAGAUGUAGUAGUAUACCAGUAGUAGUGCUGUAGUAGUUGUAUACCAGGCAUAGUAUACCAGUAGUAGUGCUGUAGUAGUAUACCAGUAGUAGUGCUGUAGUAGUAUACCAGUAGUAGUGCUGUAGUAGUUGUAUACCAGGGGUAGUGCUGUAGUAGUAUACCAGUAGUAGUUGUAUACCAGUAGUAGUUGUAUACCAGUAGUAGUGCUGUAGUAGUUGUAUACCAGGGGUAGUUGUAUACCAGUAGUAGUGCUGUAGUAGUUGUAUACCAGUAGUAGUUGUAUACCAGUAGUAGUGCUGUAGUAGUUGUAUACCAGUAGUAGUGCUGCAGUAGUUGUAUACCAGUAGUAGUUGUAUACCAGUAGUAGUGCUGUAGUAGUUGUAUACCAGGGGUAGUGCUGCAGUAGUUGUAUACCAGUAGUAGUGCUGUAGUAGUGCUGUAGUAGUUGUAUACCAGUAGUAGUGCUGUAGUAGUUGUAUACCAGUAGUAGUUGUAUACCAGUAGUAGUGCUGUAGUAGUGCUGUAGUAGUUGUAUACCAGGGGUAGUGCUGCAGUAGUUGUAUACCAGUAGUAGUGCUGUAGUAGUUGUAUACCAGUAGUAGUGCUGUAGUAGUUGUAUACCAGUAGUAGUUGUAUACCAGUAGUAGUGCUGUAGUAGUUGUAUACCAGGGGUAGUGCUGUAGUAGUUGUAUACCAGUAGUAGUGCUGUAGUAGUUGUAUACCAGUAGUAGUGCUGUAGUAGUUGUAUACCAGUAGUAGUGCUGUAGUAGUAGUAUACCAGUAGUAGUGCUGUAGUAGUUGUAUACCAGUAGUAGUGCUGUAGUAGUUGUAUACCAGUAGUAGUGCUGUAGUAGUUGUAUACCAGUAGUAGUUGUAUACCAGUAGUAGUGCUGUAGUAGUUGUAUACCAGUAGUAGUUGUAUACCAGUAGUAGUGCUGUAGUAAUUGUAUACCAGGGGUAGUGCUGUAGUAGUGCUGUAGUAGUUGUAUACCAGUAGUAGUGCUGUAGUAGUUGUAAAGCAGUAGUAGUGCUGUAGUAGUUGUAUACCAGUAGUAGUGCUGUAGUAGUUGUAUACCAGUAGUAGUUGUAUACCAGUAGUAGUGCUGUAGUAGUUGUAUACCAGUAGUAGUUGUAUACCAGUAGUAGUUGUAAAGCAGUAGUAGUUGUAUACCAGUAGUAGUGCUGUAGUAGUUGUAUACCAGUAGUAGUUGUAUACCAGUAGUAGUUGUAUACCAGUAGUAGUGCUGUAGUAGUUGUAUACCAGGGGUAGUGCUGUAGUAGUAGUAUACCAGUAGUAGUGCUGUAGUAGUUGUAUACCAGGGGUAGUGCUGUAGUAGUAUACCAGGGGUGAUGCUGUAGUAGUAUACCAGUAGUAGUAUACCAGGGGUAGUGCUGUAGUAGUAUACCAGUAGUUGUAUACCAGUAGUAGUGCUGUAGUAGUUGUAUACCAGGGGUAGUGCUGUAGUAGUAUACCAGGGGUAGUACUGUAGUAGGAAUAUACUAGGGGUAGUAUACCAGUAGUGUAGUAGUACUGCAGUAUUGGUGUUGUAGUAGUAGUGUGCUACUGUAUGCGGUGCUAAAUGACUGCAUACAGUAGCAUUCUGAACAUUAAUUUCUCUGGCAACAGCUCUGGUGGACAUUCCUGCAGUCAGCAUGCCAACUGCACGCUCCCUCAACUUGAGACAUCUAUGGUAUUGUGUUGUGUGACAACUGCACAUUUUAGAACAAUCUUUUAUUGUCCCCCAGCACAAGGUGCACCUGUGUAAUGAUUGUGCUGUUUAAUCAACUUCUUGAUGCCAGCUUCUUGAUUAUCUUGGCACAGGGGAAAUGCUCACUACCGGGGAUGUAAACAAAUUAGUGCACAAUUUGAGAGAAAUAAGCUUUUUGUUCAAUAUAUGUAUACUUUACACUCCAUUGUAUUUGAUAUCUUUAUCUCUGCCAUAUACAAACGGUAUAUAAAUGUGAUGUCUCUGACCAUAGUGUUGAAAUAGUCAUUACAUUAGACUAGAAGAGUGUACCAGACCAGGUAAAUAGUCUUUAUUAGAUUUUUUUUUAUCAGAGCCCAUAGGGCUGUAAUGAAGUAGUGCACUAUAUAGGGUGUCUAUUGGGAUGGAUGUUCCCACUGUCUUACACAGAUGAGUUACUCAAUCUAUCUUCUGGCCUGCAGCGAGUUCAAACAAUGUACCAUACCAGGCCUGUUACCAGUCUACAGAAGUCACAUUAUUGCUUCUCAUACCACCCUGCAUCCCACUGCUGGCUCGCUCAGAUCUAAACAUGGUUUGUCUCUGGAUGCUGCUGGAAGUGGUGUUGGAGGGCCAGUGGGAGGCACCCUUUCCUCUGCUCUAAAAAAAAAAACAUCCCAAUGACCCAGGACAGUGUUUGGGGACAUUGCCCUGUGUAGCGUGUCGUCUUUCGGAUGAGACGUUAAACAGGUGUCCUGACUCUCUGUGGUCACUAAAGAUCCCAUGGCACUUAUUACAAGAGUAGGGGUGUUAACCCUGAUGUCCUGACGAAAUCCCCAAUCUGGCCCUCAUACCAUCAUGGACACCUAAUCAUGUAUGAGCUGCCAAUUGGCUCAUACAUCCUCUCCCCUGUAACUAUUCCCCAGGUCGUUGCUGUAAAUGAGAAAAUGUUCUCAGUCAACUUAACUGGUAAAAUAAGGGUGAAAUGAAAUGGAGAAGAAUUCUCUACCAACACUCUUCCUUACUUUUUAAAUAGCUAUUUACACUCUGUACCUGAACAAUGGAUUUCAAUUUGUUGAUCAAUGAUUUCUGUAGUUACGGUUCUGUUCUGUAUUUAAAGUUAUGUUUUAAUGAGUUGAAAUUUUUAACCAAGAUUUCAUAUUUAUUUUCAAGUAUUAAUAAAAUAUUUAUUUUGUAACUUAA
ensembl:lncRNA